UUAUAUUCAAUUAUGAUUUAAAAUUGCAAAUUUUAAGGUGUAUAAUAAUUAUACUAAGGCUU
rnacentral:tRNA from 2 species